rnacentral:rRNA from 1 species
CCAGACUCCUACGGGAGGCAGCAGUGGGGAAUAUUGCACAAUGGGGGAAACCCUGAUGCAGCGACGCCGCGUGAGCGAUGAAGUAUUUCGGUAUGUAAAGCUCUAUCAGCAGGGAAGAAAAUGACGGUACCUGACUAAGAAGCCCCGGCUAACUACGUGCCAGCAGCCGCGGUAAUACGUAGGGGGCAAGCGUUAUCCGGAUUUACUGGGUGUAAAGGGAGCGUAGACGGCUGUGCAAGCCAGAUGUGAAAGCCCGGGGCUCAACCCCGGGACUGCAUUUGGAACUGCGUUGCUAGAUUGCGGGAGAGGCAAGUGGAAUUCCUAGUGUAGCGGUGAAAUGCGUAGAUAUUAGGAGGAGCACCAGUGGCGAAGGCGUCUUACUGGACCGAAACUGACGUUGAGGCUCGAAAGCGUGGGGAGCAAACAGGAUUAGAUACCCCCGUA